CUCUCUUUUCUUUCUCCCCAAGCUUUGGAGAGUUGUUUAGUAAAAAAGAACGCCUUGCCUAUGCCCUAUUACGACAUAUCUGAAUCAUUUAGGAUCCGUUCUUCUUUGCGUUUUAAAUGGACUUUUGCGUUAAAAAGUCCUUUUCUCUUAAAAGGAACGAAGAACGGCCUCCAUUUUCUCAAAAAAUUCACCAUCUAAAACGUGAUUUUCUCCAGAUGGAGAAGCUGAAAAUUUCACCAUCUAAAAAGCUUGACGUGCUUUUGGCUGAUAAAUGACCAAAUUAACUUGUCUUCUCCCCCUUGGAAAAACGUUUUUUCCUCUGCUGUGAAAGUUCUAUACCCAUUUUUUUCACAUUUUUGCUGUGAAAGCUCCUUCCUGUUCUUUGUUCCUCUUCCGCAGAAAUCAUGGAACAAAAGCUUGCUACACAGCAUGUGGAAAUGCAGAUACUUGGUACAGAAAACCAGAGAACUGCUGCUACCAAUGGAACAUUGAGACAGGAACUUGCUGCUGCACAGCAUGAGUUGCAAAUCUUGCAUGCUCAGAUAGGAGCUGUAACAUCUGAAAGAGAACAACAAAUGACGAGCCUUACGGAUAAAAUAGCUAAGAUGGAAGCAGAACUGCAAGCAGCUGAGCCUGUUAAGAUGGUAUGGGGUCGGCUGAGUGGAGAGCCGCAAAGAGUCCUGCUUACUACAAACGUGGGGAUUAUGCUCCUGGUUUGAAGGUGAGACUUGGUUGGCUGAGAGAUAAAUAGUGGUUGUAAUUUGUUGGUUCUUUAGUAUUGUUAUUAUGAUUAUUAAGUAAAUGAGGAUUAUGUAUGUGAUGUCGAAGUGACUAUGACCAGUAGAUGUAGUAAGAGUGAUAGUGGAUGGUAAAAAACUGUGAUAAUUGUGAUUUUGGGCCAUGUGAGAUGCUUCUGCUGGUUUUAUAUUGCUGUUUUGUUCUCUUAUCCUUUUAUUUAAGAAACUAAACGUUUGAAUGAAGUUUCAGAAAAGCAGAAUCUCAAGGGAUUUUUCCUGCUUAUACUAUCGGUUCUUAAUAUUUAAGUUUGUUUUCUUCUAAGGUGUAAGGCAUUGAUGCAAAAAGAAUACCUUCUAGCAGAACUUUAAAGCAACAACCUCUCUGGUCAGCUUAAGAAGCGUGGAUGGAAUGGAUGCUCUUGCUGUGAAGCAAGCUUGCAUGUUUGCCAAAGAACAUGCUUUGAAGAAUGGACCAAUUGUAAGUUUAUUCAUCCUGCUAUUACCUGUUUUUCAUUUUUUUUCUUUUUAAUAAUCUUUUAUUGUGCUCAUUUUCUGGCCAUUUUCCACAUGCGAAUACUUCCUUAUUUAAAGGUGUGAAUCUACCACAUCAACUUGAGAAAACUUUGGCUUUCUUCAUCACUCAUUUUAGUGUUUGUGUAAAUUGUGUUAUCUUCCUUAUGCCUAAAGCUGUUAGAGAAUCAAAUCCCCUGCUACAUGAUUGAUCAUGCUUGAAAAAACUCCAUAAUUACAUGCUUAACCUUAUAAGCUAAUUCUACUAGUCACCUCUACAAUUAGUAGACUCAUAGAAUAUGUUAUUGUUUCUCAUCUACACUAUGACUGAGAGAUACAUGCUUCAUUUUGAACUUUUUCUGAUUAAUCAAUAUUUGAUUUACAACAUUUGAGCUGCAAGCGACAGAAUACAACACUUUGUUGGAAUAUUGUGCUUGUUUCAAACUAUUUUAUGCUUGUGGUACUGAAGACAUAGAUCUUAAAGAAAACCCGACGUUCUCCCUCCAAAGUGUUGAUGAAAUCAUGAAAAUAGUUGAAGAGGCCAAAGUUGCCCCUAGAAUAUCACGACCUAUCGGAGGCUUUGGCUAGGGUGGAGAAGAAGAUAGGGAUGCAAAGGAAGAAGAUACAGAAGAAGACGAAGAAGAUGAGUACGAGAAAACGGUAAAAGAGGUACAUGCCAGUGGAGAAAUUCACGUCUCUUAAGGAAAAAAAGAGAGUAAUAUAUGGUUUCCAAAUGUUGGAGCUCUGGUGUCUUUUAGUGCUUACAUAUGUUCUUAUAAAUAUGAUGUCAAUUUUUUGCUACUGGACUUGGGUGUUGAAUAAACAACCUGUAAAUUAGUGUGUUUUGGACAAGUAGUUUGUGCAGUCUCUAAUAUGAUUUUGUAGGGUGUAUUGGUACUGAUUAGGUAGGUGGAAACUACAGGGAUUUGAACCCUGCCUAGUUGGUAAGUUGGGUAAAUGUAGUGGUCUACACUUUUUAGAGUAUAAUGGAAGAUCUGUCAUCUGUGAGUCCUAUAAGUUUGAUUUCUUCCAUCAUAAAGUGGUAUGUUAUGUCUAGAGUUGCUACUCCAUAAAAUUUAAGAAAUUACCAAUAUAAUUUUUAAGUAACAUUUUCAUCCUAACAA